GGACUACCGGGGUAUCUAAUCCUGUUCGCUCCCCACGCUCUCGCGCCUCAGUGUCAGUAUCAGUCCAGGAAGCCGCCUUCGCCACUGGUGUUCCUUCCGAUAUCUACGCAUUUCACCGCUACACCGGAAAUUCCACUUCCCUCUACCGUACUCUAGUUAAACAGUCUUGCCUGCAAUUCCUAGGUUAAGCCCAGGGAUUUCACAAACAACUUACCUAACCACCUACGCGCCCUUUACGCCCAGUAAUUCCGAUUAACGCUCGCACCCUCUGUAUUACCGCGGCUGCUGGCAC
rnacentral:rRNA from 1 species